GGUGUUUAUGAAAAUAAGCUUAAAAGGGAAGUUUGGUGUGAAUCCAACGCUGUCCCGCAACUGUGAAAAUGGAGCGAUGUGCAACAUGCCACUGUCUAUGUAGAUGGGAAGGCUGUCGUCGCGUUGAUAUGAAGUCAGGAGACCUGCCGUUUCUA
rnacentral:ncRNA from 1 species